rnacentral:tRNA from 1 species
GGCCACGUGGCGAAGAAGCAACGCGACGGUCUGCAAAACCGUUAUGCGAGGGUGCGAAUCCCUCCGUGGCCUCCA